GUUUUUGACAACUUCAUGUUAGGUACUGGAAUUUCAGGCCUAAGUUGUUUGUGGAGGAUGAGAAUCAAAUACAACAAAAGGAAAAUGCGGGAAAAUAAGGAGAGAGAAAAUAUGAGAGAGUGUGAGAACUUUCUGGAAUUCUUCAAAUUGCAAUACUGAUAUGAAAUUACAUCUCACGGACUGUUUUGUGCAGCUAAUAUUCUCAUAGAUACUAGCAACAGAAUGCUGACCUAAGAAACUGACAACUAACAGCCUACUAAUGAAUUGAUACUACCUACUAAUGACACUGUUUUAGGAACCUAUUGUUCGUAAUACUUCAUUUGGCAUUUUUUUUUGGGGAGCAACGUGAAGAAUCUUUCAGGUUAGGGAAUAUGAGGAAAGCAGGAAUGCCA
rnacentral:misc_RNA from 1 species